rnacentral:tRNA from 4 species
UAUAUUUUAGUGUAAGAAGCACAAUAAUUUUUGAUAUUAUUAGGUAUAGUUUAAUUCUAUAAAAUAUAA